UACGUAGGGUGCGAGCGUUAAUCGGAAUUACUGGGCGUAAAGCGUGCGUAGGCGGUUCGUUAAGUUCGUUGUGAAAGCCCCGGGCUCAACCUGGGAAUGGCAAUGGAAACUGGCGGGCUGGAGUAUGGCAGAGGGGGGUGGAAUUCCGCGUGUAGCAGUGAAAUGCGUAGAGAUGCGGAGGAACACCGAUGGCGAAGGCAGCCUUCUGGGCCAACACUGACGCUCAUGCACGAAAGCGUGGGGAGCAAACAGG
rnacentral:rRNA from 1 species